CUAAACUGAGGAAAGUUCGUCGAAACUGAUAGGCUAGAGGGACGUAGAGGGAGGCGGAACUCUUGGAGUAGCGGUGAAAUGCGUAGAUACCAAGAGGUACCUCGAUGGCGAAGGCAGCCUCCUGGGCGUUCCCUGACGCUGAAGCGCUAAGGCCAGGGGAGCAAAGGGGAUUAGAUACCCCCGUAGUCCUGGCUGCAAACGAUGUGGGCUUGGUAUCGGGCCAUUAAUAGGUUCGUUGCCGGAGUUAACGCGUUAAGCUCACCGCCUGGGGAUUACGUCCGCAAGGAUGAAACUCAAGGGAAUUGACGGGGGCCCACACAACCGGUGGAGCACGUGGUUUAAUUCGAUGAUAAGCGAAGAACCUUACCAGGGCUUGACAUGCCGGUGGUAGAACCCUGAAAGGGGACCGACCUUGGACUUUGUCCAAGGAGCC
rnacentral:rRNA from 1 species